rnacentral:lncRNA from 1 species
CUCAGGUGGCCUGGGAAUGCACGGAGGCUCUGAGGCAGAGGCUGAGUCUCAGAGGAGGAAGAUGAAGAAGGAACCUCCUCUAACUGCUGCCCCAGGUCAGAGCGCAGGUGAGCCCGAGGAAUGCUGAUGUGGGCAUAUGGAUUCUUCACAACCAUCUCAUGGGGGUCCAUGGUCCAGGCUGCAGGGGAGAGCAGGAAGGAAAAAAGCUGCUUGAGAGCCUGUCGCCUAAGAAGACACCCAUUUAAGAGGAGUCUGCCCUUGGAGAGCCAUAUCCCGAAGGCAUCUAUGUGCAAGGCCUGUGUGUAUUGGAGUUAUCUGAGUUGGCCAACAUCAUGCAUGCGUGACAGGUUUCCACGGAACGCCUCCCCUCUACAACUCAGCACCCGACGCCUCCUGUCACAUUGUCUUGCUGAAGGAGCCCUGAAGUGGACCAAUGGUUCCGCAGAACUGUAAAGUCUGGCCCAGCCUUGGCUCUCAAGGAACACUGUUCCAUUCGUCCAAUUGUACAGAAAGGGGCUGUAGCCUGAAGAAAAUCUAGACUUUCCAGGGUCAGGCAUAGGACUCAGUGUUAUGCAUGGUGGCCAU